rnacentral:rRNA from 1 species
ACGGAGGCAGCAGUGGGGAAUAUUGCACAAUGGGGGAAACCCUGAUGCAGCAACGCCGCGUGAGUGGAGAAGUAUUUCGGUAUGUAAAGCUCUAUCAGCAGGGAAGAUAAUGACGGUACCUGACUAAGAAGCUCCGGCUAAAUACGUGCCAGCAGCCGCGGUAAUACGUAUGGAGCAAGCGUUAUCCGGAUUUACUGGGUGUAAAGGGUGCGUAGGUGGCACUGCAAGUCAGAUGUGAAAGACCGGGGCUCAACCCCGGGGCUGCAUUUGAAACUGCGGGGCUGGAGUGCAGGAGAGGCAAGCGGAAUUCCUAGUGUAGCGGUGAAAUGCGUAGAUAUUAGGAGGAACACCAGUGGCGAAGGCGGCUUGCUGGACUGAUACUGACACUGAGGCACGAAAGCGUGGGGAGCAAACAGGAUUAGAUACCCUGGUA